rnacentral:tRNA from 2 species
GCCGCGAUACGCAUUUGACCUGGUUUAACCAUGGUUUCCACUUCCCUGACACGGAAGAGGUCACUGGUUCAAUCCCAGUAUCGCGCACCA